AUCUUACCUGUUUUAUGCCCCUUUGAUUGUGUGGUCUAUUAAAUACGAUUUCAAUUUUGUAUUAUGUAUUAAAGCACUUUGAGCUGCAUUCUUCGCAUGAAAAGUGCUAUAUAAAUAAAGUGUUUCUCACUUAUUUACAGUAUUUUGUAACCAAGAUAUGUUUCCCUUCUGUCUUGUUUGUUUUUCUCCCUGCAACUUCAGAACUCCAAAUACAUGCUCACGUGGCUGAUGACGACGUCAGAGAUCACUGGAGAACUGAUGUUAAUAUCUCUGCACGGGAGGCUGUAGUCACUUACUUUACGGCUUUCGGGGGUGAGCAUGUGCUCUUCCGAGACGGCAUGGAGACUGAUGAGGGCUUCGACAUUUUUGGAAAUCGUAUCACACUCCAAAAGUCAACGCUCCAAAAGUCAACUUUCAGCAUCAGCAAAGCGCAGCCAAGUGACGCAGGACGAUACGAGAUCCAUGACAAGAAUGGACAUCUGGCCAUCUCACUGUAUCUGGAGAGAGACCCUGAGUUUGAUCUUAAGAGUUUAGCCACUCCCCUUGGCAUAUCUGCGGGCGUGCUGGCAGGACUGCUGUGCUGUUGCUGGUGCUGUUGCAAGUGCUGUAGUGAUGACGACGGUGACAAGACUGAGUCCGCCGCUGCUUCUCCAGACACCGAGCAACUCGCCCACGUCCAUGAUCCCAGUGAGAUGUCUGGACCCGGCGACCCCUUGCAACCUCCAUCAUCUGCUCCCUCUUCAGGUGACACCAAUGAACUAACGGCCUCCAUGGCGUACCCCCCCAACCCCUGGGAGAACAGUCCACCUCCUUACUUUCCUGACCCAGCGUCAAGGCCACACAGCAUAGUGGUCCCCGUGGAGCCACGCGUCCCUGAGUGGGUUCCCAGCGUCCCUGAGUGUGUUCCCAGCGUCCCUGAGUGUGUUCCCAGCGUCCCUAAGUGUGUUCCCAGCGUCCCUGAGUGUGUUCCCAGUCCGUACAGUUCAGCAGCUCCCACUGCUCCUCCUGAGGCUCCUGAUGGAGGAGGAGGAGGUGAUCGUGGUGCUCCCACCGCCCCUUCUGCACCCCCCGACCCUGGGCCGCAGUACCAGUCGAGAGCCUGGGGUAGUGGCCAGGAUGACUUUCUCUCCAGCUCUCCUCUCUGCAUGGACAGCGCCACCGACAGCUGCACCUUCACCUCAAACAAUCUCAACUUCUAGACCGAUGCGUUCCGUUGACAACUCGGGAUCGAUGGAGCAUUUUCACACGCAGUGCACUGUGACUUGUGUUGCGUCCUACUGACUGGUACGCUGUGAUUUGGUAGUUUCACGCUCAAAGACAACGCGCACUACCUCAUUUGCACUGGGCCUGUUCUGCUGCAGUGCUGGAGUGGAUCUGUCAAUACCACAGACUCUCACGCCAUCCAAAGGGCCACCUUCUUUCUUUGACCUGUUUCUCUGUGUCUAAUGUCUGUGAGUCUGUUCGUGUCUGCUAGUGUCUUAUGUCCCUAUCUCAUGUAAGUAGGCCAUUUCAUGUAUCCUUUUCUUAGCUUGCUAGAAUUGGUAGCAAUGCAAGUCUGUGUUAUUUUACAUAUUUAUCACACAGGAUUGUAAUGUUCUUACUGCCUGAUCAGGUCCAAUCUCAUUCACAAGCCUUGGUGUUUUUUUGUGUCUUUUUAUGUAUGCGAUUUUAUCUCACUUUGUUGUAACUUUAUAAUGGUGGAUAAUGAAAAGACAUUUUCAGUCCCAAACGUGCUCUAAAUGCCCAUGUAAGGCCUCCAGUAUCCAAAAGUGGCCUUAUCCUAUCUCAGUGCAAUUAAUCAUGUUGUUGUUUAUUUCUGUUUACACUGUAACACCCUGAAACCAUUACUAUGUUUACAAAUGACUAUUUAACACUUUAACACAAAGUAACAGUCUGGGGCGGUCAACUCAUUUUGAAUGAUAUUAUACUGUCUAGGUUUGGUGUACACCCUGAUUAAAAAGAUGACCCCCCCCCCCCACCACCAUCACCAAAUGUCAUGUCAUUACAUAAUUCACUCUGCCUGAAAUCUUUCCACAUGUAUUUAGAUGUAAGCCAUUAUGUGAAAGUGCCACAAAUUACAGCCAUGUUUAGAUAUUGGUAGGUUUCACGUACAAGCCAUAUAAAUUGAUCCCCUCAUGUAGUCUCAGAUACCAUUAGACUUGAUUGUUGGCUUUUGUCUACAGCCACAACAAGAUGUUUGGAGCCAGGCAUAUUAGCAUUUUGAUUGCCAUGGUCAAGCUAGACCCCCACCUGCCUGGCAUUCACACACCCCUAUACCCCUUUCCUUACAUGCCCCUACCUCACACCUUGAACUAGGACAUACCCACCCCCUCUCCUUAUUCUUUACACCUAACACAGAACUUCCUCCCCAGACCUGUAGGUAAUCGUUUAUGCCAUUUUUUAGUAUGUUAAUUAUGUAGUCCUAUAAGGGAUAAAUUUUUUUUUUUAACAAACAAACAAACAAGGCUGACUCACGUAAGUUUUUUUAUUGCACAAGCGACACACACGUGGUUAUGGAGAAGACACAGGACACACACACACACGCAGGCCUCAGGUCACUGUGAAUGUAAUCUCUGCAUUUAACCCAUCCCGGACUGUCUUUCCUCCAGGACCCCAGGAGCAGUGGGCAGCUUUUCAGCGCCCGGGGACCAAGUGAACCGUCUGUCUUGGUCAGGACGGACAGGAGAGUGUUCUGUUCUUUUUGCAUGUUUUUCUGUUGGGGUUCUUAGUGGAGGAAACCCCUUGUGAACACGUGGAGAACAUGCAAACUCCACACAUAAUUAUGUUACCAUUCAUAACAGGGCGGCAAAGACAGUGGAAGAUAACCGCUAACUUGUAACUUGUUGCUGUGAGUUAGAAAUUCCGAGGCUAAAACUUUGUUGGAAUAAACAGA
ensembl:lncRNA